UAGCAAGAAUGAAAGGAAUCAAUUUAUCAUUGAAUGCUUUAUAAAACCCGCUUAUUAAACCAUCAUUUCCAGGGGACCUCUUGUCCUUAAGGCUUUUAAUACAGUCUUUUAUCUCAAUUCAGAUAACUCAUCAUCACAAAAAUCCCUGAAAUCUUUAUCUAUCUUCUUAGCAAUGUUUGCAACACGUCAUGCUCUAUCAACUGAGCUACGAAGGAGCACGUCGACGUCACUAGAAUGAUGACAAGCAAUUUUAACGGACUCUAAAGAGAAUCAUGGAAUUCCAAACUAAUUUCUAUGGCAACACAGUUGUCAAUUUUGUAAACAAUCAUUUUCAAACGUGUGUUGCCAAGAGACAUCUAACCGACGUUAUAUGGAACGUUUUCUGUGCGGAAAUAACAACUUCAGUUUGCUGCUGACAACAAACUGUUUGAUUUUUGAGACCUGAGAACAAUCGACUGGAAAAUGCCUGGGUGCUUUUCAAGACUGGCGGAGAGAGUGCGUGGACGUCGGCGGCCUACUGCAUCAACAGGUUGUUCAAAUUCAUUUGUGGCUUGUUUUUCUUGUCUUUUUCUGUUUUGCAGGGUUCGUGAUCGUCGACAGGUGGACAGCGACAGCGACUUCGAAGAGGAAACAACUGUCCUGGAUGAGGUCCAGUUGGAUGUGCCAUUGGAUGAUGUGCCAGAUGUUCCACAGCUGCCAGUCCUCCUUGAUAUCCAGAAUGCUGCUAUCAUCCUUGAGGAUGUGCCGGAUGUGCAGACUAUCCUUGAGGUACAAUUUUCUGAAAGUUUGGGGUUUUAUGUUUGAAAAAUAUCCCUGAUAUUCAAGUUGUGUCUCUUUGACAUGAAACAAAUCUCUUGUGUGCUUUCUACUUUAGGAGACCACUGGCAAUUGGCAGUUGAUUCCGAUUAGGUUCAGCCCCCUGUACUGUGGGAUAACAUGUUUGGCCAGCAGCUGGCCUGGUACUUUAACCCAGAGUCUCUGGUCACUGAGCUCUCCAGCCUCAUGGAGUACCACUUGGAGAACCUCAUGGCCAGCAUGUAGUCCUACUGCAGGGACCAUACUCCUUUCUCCUUCUCUCUCUCUUUUGAAGGAAUUGAGGACUUGAAGUGCUUUGUUGAACCCUGAAUAGUUAACACCCAGUAAUUGAACGUAUUCUCUUGUUUUCUCUCCCCACAGGAUUCUUGUGAUACUUUGCCACCCAACAGGGAUCUAGAGACCAAUGCACUACAUUACAUGUCAAUUGAAAAUGUGGUUGUUUUGUUGUCCUGUUGUGCGCCUUGAGUGUCAGUCCCCUUAAGCACAUUAUUCCAAUAUUUCCGAGCUCUGAAUUGACACAAUGAACACUUUUGAAAAGAUAUUCGGUUAAAAAUAAGAGUAUGGAUGACAAUAAACGUAUGACUUGGAUUGUAUGAAUAAUAGUGUAGUAAACAGUAUCGCUCAGCAUGGGAACUUUUGGUGUUAGGAAAGUGUCCGUUAUAAGUCUCCAUGGCACGUAUCACUUCGUUGUCUUGUUGGUAAUAGUAAAAAUGCAUGACAGUCCGCAUUGUAAUGGUCUAACAGGUGUUUUUCAUUUUGCUUCUCACAUUAACCAGAAAUUUGAGAACAGAAUUUCUUACAGUUGUACCUAUGAUGCACAGACACACUAAAGCUGUACAGUGUCGUUUGAAUAAUCAGUUUCAAUUAUUUGCAGAUGUAUUCCCUAUUAUUUACAAAUGGAAAGAUGUAACAUUUGAAAUGAAUGUGGCAGAACAGUUUAGCAUAGAGUUCCUGUGGGUGUCUUCUCCUUCAGUCUGUUUGCCUCCUAGGCCUCGUUUCUCAUUACAUGGAAUUUCCCCAGUGCCAACUUCACACGAGAUGGCCGCUGUCUACUGUCAUGUGGUGCUGAAUGACAGAUAUCGCUAUGCCGACAUCGCUGCUGUCCAUGGUCCUGAAAUAUACAAUCUCGGCUAUUUGCAUAUGUACGACCGUCCAAACUUGACCCCACACACAUACACAAACAUUAAUGCUAAUCUCUCACACUCUUUUGAACAUUGCACAACCUGCAACAAAACACUGAAAGAGCAUUUUAUUCCAAGUGUGUUUGUGUUUGAAUAAAGACCCAAAGAAUGAAA